rnacentral:rRNA from 1 species
UGGUGCCAGCAGCCGCGGUAAUUCCAGCUCCAAUAGCGUAUAUUAAAGUUGUUGCAGUUAAAGAGCUCGUAGUUGAAUUUCGGGAUCGACGGGUCGGUCGCGCCUCUGGUGUGUACUGGCCCUGUCGGUUUCUCCCUUCUGACGAACCACGAUGUCAUUAAUUUGGUGUCGUGGGAAAUCAGGACUGUUACUUUGAAAAAAUUAGAGUGUUUAAAGCAGGCAUUCGCUUGAAUACAUUAGCAUGGAAUAAUGAAAUAGGACGUAUGAUCUUAUUUUGUUGGUUUCUAAGAUCGACGUAAUGAUUAAUAGGGAUAGUUGGGGGCAUUAGUAUUCAAUUGUCAGAGGUGAAAUUCUUGGAUUUAUUGAAGACUAACUACUGCGAAAGCAUUUGCCAAGGAUGUUUUCAUUAAUCAAGAACGAAAGUUAGGGGAUCGAAGACGAUCAGAUACCGUCGUAGUCUUAACCAUAAACUAUGCCGACUAGGGA